AAAGAUAGAGAGAGAUAGGAGAUAAGUGGAAGGAUGGCUUUCCGCGGCACAGGUAUAUAAAGACCUACCUGUCACUGGCCACGCACAUUCUGUCUCACUUCAAGGUGGGCCCCAUCGUGCAGUGCCCAGGUGUGACCAUAGGCUAACUUUUAGCGCAAUAAACACCUGGCCCUGGCCUGACUGGAUAGCUAUUGUGGUGUUUCGAUGGAGCCAUGGGUGGAGCGCUUCUUGGUAUGGCGUUGACAAUGAUUCCUCCAGACUGGAUCAUCAUAUUUGGAAUGAUAUAAAAUGUUUUCUCUGUAUUUGCCUCACGUUGAGCCACACGCACAAUACCUGAAGAUGAAGUUUUGUUCGUUCGGCUCGCGUUAAGCAGGUACAGGUUUUCUGCAGAGAAAGAAGAGUUCCGUUGUAUGAGAAGAAGUGCUUGGCAAUGUGACAGCUGUCGCUGAUAAAUGAUAAUUUGGCAGCUUUGAAUGAAAGUUGGGCUACAGCAAUAAGGCUGCGUACUACUACUGCCUAAGUUCGAUCAUUGAUUUAGGUCCCAACGGAUGCUCUUUUUAUGGACGCUUUUCGUGUAAGCUGAUGAGGACAUGAUAAACAAUGGCUUCUGAACAUGACAAUGUCCUCAAGAGUUGGAAAACGUUAAACGACACGUUUGACUUGACUGUUCACUAAAGGUAUUACGUAGCUUUAAGAACUGACCAAAUAUUGAUACUCAAGCAUUAAAAGUAUGCAUGAUA